UUUAUUUCAAACGGGGGAGGAAACGACACCAUUCUGCUGUAGUUUCUUUUUACGGAUAUGGGAGAAGAAAAUGAAGACUGCCAAUCAAAGUAUAUCGCUGUAUAUGAAGGUUCGCCAAACUCAAGAACACUUCUGAAAAAGUUUUGCAAUGAUGAAAAUCCGAUAUUCCAAACUGAAACGAAAUCAUUCCAUGUGAUGUUCUACUCCGCGCACCCUAUAGUGGAUGUAUCAUUCGUAGCAAAGUACGAACUUCUCUCACCGACUCUUGAGUUAUAUAAUGAUUCAUAUAUGGUGGCUGAUGAUGAGAAACAGUAUUUUACAUCACCAGAUUUUUUCAACCAAACUGACAUUCCAAUGAAUAUUCAAUGGAUUGUUAUGGCAAAGGAAAUGAAUGACGUUAUCGUUCUUGAGCUUGCUUAGUCUGGAAUGCCCCAGUCUUACAAUUGCAGAGAAGCAGCCCUUCGGGUCUAUGAUAAUGUAUCAGAUAUUGAAACAGAUAAUAUGAUUGGUCAAUUUUGUGGACCGAAAACUGUUAGUAUAGUUUCUUCUACUAACAGAAUGCUGAUUUGGUACUCGGCGAACUGGUCAGCGCACAGUCGGGGUUUUAUGGCGGUGUAUUACUCAAAACAAAAAGGUACUAAAAUACCUCAGCAGUCUCUGGAUCGAACUCCAAUCAUUUGCAUCAUUCUCAUUGUGGCUGUGAUCAUAUGUAUUAUUUAUGUAUUUAACUGGUAUUGGCAGUGUUGUCGACACAACAAGAUAAACAGAUUACACACUUGGAGGACCUCUCGAAAACACUACCACAAAUUCGACAACGAUAAUAUUGAAGAGUGAUAUUCAAAACACAAAAUAUCAUUUAAAAAAUAAACAAGAAGAAAGCAAACAGCAGCAUAAGUAAUUACAUGUACAGAUCUAUAAUUUUCACAAUACAAUACAAAACAAAAAUAAAGGAUUAUAUAUAUGUGUACAAAGCUGAUUAACUGAAAUUUUCUGACGAAAAUAUUUUUGGUGUUGUUCCGAAUAGACAAAAUACAAUUUUUGAGAGAGAAGGGUAAAACGCAAAUGAGUUAAUUAAAUGUAUUACUGGUAAUACAGUUCUGUAUUUUUGAGAUGAGAAAUUCUGUACAUUAUUUACAUUAUUUACAUUAGACGGAAACGUGUCCUUAUCUUGUUUAUUGUUACCACAACGUUUCGGCUGAUUUACUCUCUAGCCUUCAUCAGGUGUCGUGGUAGGAUUUUGAACGCAGGAUUGGGUUCAAAAUCCUACUAGGACACCUGAUGAAGGCUGCAGAGUAAAUCAGCCGCAACGUUGUGGUAACAACAGACAGGAUGAGGACACAUGUCGAUCUAAUGUAAAUAAUGUAUUACUGGUGUGUGAAAUGAAAGAAAGUAUCUGAAGAGCGAAAGAAAGUUUCCACUCCCGCGAAAAUUGCACACAAGGGACGAAACUAUAAAUAUUGAAAGACAAUAGAUUAACAAUUCUGUCUUAUUCUUUGAUUCAUUGUUCUUUCCCAAAACUGGUUUUAAACUGAAAUAUUAACAAACAGUAGAAAAGUUUGAGUUCUACUAACUCUAUAGGAAUGUUUCUGUAUUUCUGCUCUUCACAUGCAUGUGUAUUUGCCAAUCAUCUGGUGGUGUUGUGUGUAUAUGUAUACAUGCACACAUCCGUGCAUACAUGUACACAUGCAUACAUGCAUACACAUACACACAUACAAACACACAUUCAUACAUGCAUACAUAGGAGGUAUGCGUGUACGUGUUCAAACUUAAGUUUAGUAAUCUGUUUAAAGGACGAAAAAAAUCACCAGGAAACCAUCGAAAAAUGUCAAUCCACAGAGCUGUGUAUAAAAUAUAAAUAUAAAUAAUAAUUCAGUCCUCUACUAUUAAUUCCGUUGUUACCGUAUUGAUAAAUACGUCAGUUAUUCACAUAGAUACAGAGCCACAUGUGCAGUGGAUUAAUUUCAGCAAUUCCCGUCUGGCAUUUAUUUUAUUGACUCCAGGAAAAUGUAAGGCAAAAUUAACAUUGUUGGAAUACAAAAUCAGUACGUACAGAGGAAUUUAACUAAAUACUGUAAGGCACUUUGGCAAAAUUUGGAACGAUUGUGCUAAACCAAACGACUCUGCGUUAAGGAUUAUUAUUAACUAAGGGUUUGACGAUGAGUAAAUAGAAAUUAUAGAGAUCUUGGUUAAACAUUGUAUAGUGUUAUACUACUUUUUCCUUUGUAGACAUUGAACUCCAUCCAAGAUUUAUUUCUGUGAAGUUCUCUAGCAGAAUGAAGCAUAUACCAUUCAAGUAGAUUAAUUUUGGUUCACCAUUGCAUUAAGAAAACCAAAUAUAACACUAGUCACUCUUUCGAAUCACAAAAAUUACGAGGAAGAAGAAGAAGAAGGGAUAGGAGGAAGAAGG